GAUGAAGACCGGUUAGCUUCGAUGGAUGAAGAAUUUAUUGAAAAACAAAUUAUAGACUUAAAAUGUACAGAAGAAGAUUUUGACACACUACAAAGGCAACUUGAUCUAAUCAAAGAAGAAGUAGAAAGUGAAAACCAGAGAAAAGCACUUGUCAUAGAUGAAUUGCAGAAAAUCAAGGAGAAAGAAAAGGCUGU